rnacentral:rRNA from 1 species
CGGGGUGCAGCAGGCGCGAAAACUUUACAAUGCUGGAAACAGCGAUAAGGGGACCUCGAGUGCCAGGUUACAAAUCUGGCUGUCGUGAUGCCUAAAAAGCAUUGCAUAGCAAGGGCCGGGCAAGACCGGUGCCAGCCGCCGCGGUAACACCGGCGGCUCGAGUGGUAACCGUUAUUAUUGGGUCUAAAGGGUCUGUAGCCGGCCAGAUAAGUCUCUUGGGAAAUCCAGCAGCUCAACUGUUGGGCUUUCAGGAGAUACUGUCUGGCUCGAGGCCGGGAGAGGUGAGAGGUACUUCAGGGGUAGGGGUGAAAUCUUGUAAUCCUUGAAGGACCACCAGUGGCGAAGGCGUCUCACCAGAACGGACCUGACGGCAAGGGACGAAAGCUAGGGGCACGAACCGGAUUAGAUACCCGGGUAGUCCUAGCCGUAAACGAUACUCGCUAGGUGUCGGCCACGGUGCGACCGUUGUCGGUGCCGUAGGGAAGCCGUGAAGCGAGCCACCUGGGAAGUACGGCCGCAAGGCUGAAACUUAAAGGAAUUGGCG